rnacentral:rRNA from 1 species
GAUGAACGCUGACAGAAUGCUUAACACAUGCAAGUCUUUGGCGAAGCUGUGCUUGCACAGCCUAGCCAAGGCGGACGGGUGAGUAACGCGUAAGGAACUUGCCCUGCAGUCAGGGAUAACAGACGGAAACGACUGAUAAGACCUGGUAAAGUCAGGCGGACUCAUGUCCAGCCUGAUGAAAAGAGAUGCUGCAGGAGAGCCUUGCGUCCUAUUAGCUUGUUGGUGGGGUAACGGCCCACCAAGGCGAAGAUAGGUAGCCGGCCUGAGGGGGUGGACGGCCACAAGGGGACUGAGAUGCCGCCCUUUACUCUGCGGGGGGGAAGAGGGGGGAAUAGUGGACAAGGGGGGCAACCCUGAUCCAGCAAUUCUGUGUGCACGAUGAAGGUUUUCGGAUUGUAAAGUGCUUUCAGCAGGGAAGAAAAAAAUGACGGUACCUGCAGAAGAAGCGACGGCUAAAUACGUG